CCGAUCCCAAGAAUGGAGCCACAGAAGACCCCAUUGUUUCUCCCAGAUUCGCCAGAUCUCCAGAGGACGUGAAAAUAACCGGGUCCUGUUAAUCGUCGUCGAAGCGUCGCCGAUUCUAAAGAUAAAUUCCGCGACGGUGUACGUUUUCACAGGCCCGUACGUAGAAAAGUCUGAUCGGGGCACCGAUGGUAGGGAUGGGGUAGAGAGAGAGAAUCGCGUCCUGCCACAACGUCAUCGUCGUCUUUUACGAUCGCGAGCUGCGAAAAGGUGGGAGCCUCGAACGCCUGUAACCGAAGCUUUCAGCCGACCAGUCAAGACUUAGCCAGCGAGUCAAACGCAUCCCGGACGACGAACGAACCUGAAUACUUACCCCGCACGAUUUCCUUUUUUCUCUCGUGAACGAGUGAACGAACAGAACCGCAGCCAUGGACGCGAUCAAGAAGAAGAUGCAGGGCAUGAAGCUGGAGAAGGACAACGCGAUGGAUCGCGCGUUGCUCUGCGAACAGCAAGCCCGAGAUGCGAAUGCGCGAGCUGAAAAGGCGGAGGAAGAGGCUCGUGCUCUGCAAAAGAAGAUCCAGACCAUCGAGAAUGAACUCGAUCAAACUCAGGAGGCCCUCAUGCAGGUCAAUGCUAAGCUCGAGGAGAAGGACAAAGCGUUACAGAACGCUGAGUCCGAAGUAGCCGCUCUGAAUCGUCGCAUUCAAUUGUUGGAGGAGGAUCUCGAGAGAUCCGAGGAACGUCUUGCUACCGCCACUGCUAAAUUAGCAGAGGCGUCGCAGGCUGCGGAUGAGAGCGAACGGAUACGCAAGGCACUCGAAAACCGUACCAAUAUGGAGGAUGACCGGGUAUCCUUGUUGGAGCAGCAACUAGCACAGGCUAAACUGAUCGCCGAGGAGGCGGACAAAAAAUACGAGGAGGUUGCCAGAAAACUAGUCAUGAUGGAACAGGAUCUCGAGCGUGCCGAGGAGAAGGCUGAACUUUCGGAAGGGAAGAUCGUCGAACUGGAAGAGGAACUACGCGUGGUUGGCAACAACUUGAAGUCCCUCGAGGUCUCUGAGGAGAAGGCCAACCAACGCGAGGAGGAGUACAAGAACCAAAUUAAGACACUUACCACUCGUCUAAAGGAGGCUGAAGCUCGUGCCGAGUUCGCGGAAAGAUCCGUGCAGAAAUUGCAGAAGGAGGUCGACAGGCUCGAAGAUGAUAUGGUGGUUGAGAAGGAGAAGUACAAGGAGAUCGGAGAUGGCUUGGAUCAGGCAUUCAUGGAACUCUACGGCGUCUAACGAGCCACUAACCAACCCCUCUAACGCUUCAACCAAAAUAUAUUUCAUACAAAUACCUUUCUCACAAUCUCGCUUGCUCUUAACACGCGUAAUCCACGAGCUUGUACACGAGAAGGAAAAGUACAAAUACAUCUGCGACGAUCUGGACCUCACCUUCACCGAGUUGAUCGAGAAGAAUUAAUUGAUA
rnacentral:misc_RNA from 1 species